CCUACGGGAGGCAGCAGUGAGGAAUAUUGGUCAAUGGACGAGAGUCUGAACCAGCCAAGUAGCGUGAAGGAUGACUGCCCUAUGGGUUGUAAACUUCUUUUAUAUGGGAAUAAAAUGUUCCACGUGUGGGAUUUUGUAUGUACCAUAUGAAUAAGGAUCGGCUAACUCCGUGCCAGCAGCCGCGGUAAUACGGAGGAUCCGAGCGUUAUCCGGAUUUAUUGGGUUUAAAGGGAGCGUAGGUGGGUUGGUAAGUCAGUUGUGAAAGUUUGCGGCUCAACCGUAAAAUUGCAGUUGAAACUGGCAGUCUUGAGUACAGUAGAGGUGGGCGGAAUUCGUGGUGUAGCGGUGAAAUGCUUAGAUAUCAGGAAGAACUCCGGUUGCGAAGGCAGUUCACUGGACUGCAACUGACACUGAGGCUCGAAAGUGUGGGUAUCAAACAGGAUUAGAUACCCCUGUAGUC
rnacentral:rRNA from 1 species